AGUGGAAUUUCUGGGUCACAGGGUGAGUGUAUGUUUAACUUUAUAAGAAACCGCUGGACUGUUUUCCAAAGGGGUUGUACCAUUUUACACUCCCAGUAGAAAU
rnacentral:pre_miRNA from 1 species